rnacentral:misc_RNA from 1 species
GGUGGAGACACUGUUGGUGGUGUCGAUUGUGAAUUUGCCUCCUUUUUUUGUGCUAAUGACGGAAUUGACUAGGGUGGUGGUGGAGGGGGUGGCGGUGACGGGGUCAUGUAUCAAUUCGAAACGAUAGCCUAAUUCGUUGGUUUUAGGAUGUUCCCGCCACGCCUCUAGGCGGCCCCAGGACUUCCAGGUGCCGAGUGAUGGGCGAAGGAUUAGCCAAUCACCUGGGUUGGAGCGGCUGACGCGGUCUGAACCUGGGGAUGGAACGAAUGGUGUCACCAUCGAUGCCAUUGCUACUGGUGAGCCUGAGAGGUCAUGGAUUGU